rnacentral:rRNA from 1 species
GGUAUUUUGACUAUACGAAGGUGUUGAAAUAAGGUUUUAAUUGAAUGCUAAGAGAAUGGAUAAAUGAUUAAAAGCUUUUUUGAUAGAAAUGUUAGAAUUUUAAUUAUUAGUGAAGAUGCUAAUAUAAAUUUAUGGGACAAGAAGACCCUAUGAAUCUUUAUAUAAUUUUGGUUGGGGCGACAUAAAUAGAUUUUAAAGCUUUAUUUAGAGCCAAUAAAUUGAUUAAAUGAAAAAGAUACUCUAGGGAUAACAGCGUUAUUAUUUUGGAGAGUUCUUAUUGAUAAAAUAGUUUGCGACCUCGAUGUUGAAUUAAUGGACCUUAAGUUUGGAGAAAAAUUUUUAGGGAGAUUGUUCAUCUUUUAAAUCAUU